ACGCGCCGUUGGCCGCCAUUCCUCCUCCCAGGCGGCCAGCCAAGAAUGCGGCGCACCUCCUCCCGCGCCGCGUUUCAGAUCGGGCUCGCCGGACCUCCUCCCCCGGCGGGCCCUUUUU
rnacentral:sRNA from 1 species